rnacentral:tRNA from 1 species
GGAAGGUUGGCAGAGUGGUAAUGCACCGGACUCGAAAUCCGGCGAACCGAUUAUUUUCGGCGCGCAGGUUCAAAUCCUGUACCUUCCU